rnacentral:rRNA from 1 species
UGGCGGCGUGCCGUAUUCAUGCAAUUUGAGCGCUGAAGGUUGGUACUUGUACCGACUGGAUGAGCAGCGAACGGGUGAGUAACGCGUGGGGAAUCUGCCUUUGAGCGGGGGACAACAUUUGGAAACGAAUGCUAAUACCGCAUAAAAACUUUAAACACAAGUUUUAAGUUUGAAAGAUGCAAUUGCAUCACUCAAAGAUGAUCCCGCGUUGUAUUAGCUAGUUGGUGAGGUAAAGGCUCACCAAGGCGAUGAUACAUAGCCGACCUGAGAGGGUGAUCGGCCACAUUGGGACUGAGACACGGCCCAAACUCCUACGGGAGGCAGCAGUAGGGAAUCUUCGGCAAUGGACGAAAGUCUGACCGAGCAACGCCGCGUGAGUGAAGAAGGUUUUCGGAUCGUAAAACUCUGUUGGUAGAGAAGAACGUUGGUGAGAGUGGAAAGCUCAUCAAGUGACGGUAACUACCCAGAAAGGGACGGCUAACUACGUGCCAGCAGCCGCGGUAAUACGUAGGUCCCGAGCGUUGUCCGGAUUUAUUGGGCGUAAAGCGAGCGCAGGUGGUUUAUUAAGUCUGGNGUAAAAGGCAGUGGCUCCACCNUUGUAUGCAUUGGAAACUGGUAAACUUGAGUGCAGGAAAGAAAAUGA